rnacentral:lncRNA from 1 species
GAACUGUUCUGACAGAAUAUAGAUUGUGAAGAAGAAAUACUGCUCAAGGUUACUGUGAUCUUUUAAAUAUGCAACUAAAAACGAGACUGGAUAAGGAAAUACCUCAAGGUACAGGAAUUGAAAGGAUAAUUAUCAACUAUAUCAUUUGAUUUGGGGAAAAAAGAGGGACUGAAAACACACUUGAACAAGAGUCCAUAUACUUUGUGACCCCCAACUGGUGGAAGGACAGGGCUCAAGGCCAUCUGCCCCAGCUUCUCCCGACAUCUGCUGCCCUAACUGGCCGACCUGAGGAUCUGACUUGUCUCCUCUGUGGCACCACGAAGCGAC